rnacentral:rRNA from 1 species
GACGAACGCUGGCGGCGUGCUUAACACAUGCAAGUCGAACGGAAAGGCCCUGCUUUUGUGGGGUGCUCGAGUGGCGAACGGGUGAGUAACACGUGAGUAACCUGCCCUUGACUUUGGGAUAACUUCAGGAAACUGGGGCUAAUACCGGAUAGGAGCUCCUGCUGCAUGGUGGGGGUUGGAAAGUUUCGGCGGUUGGGGAUGGACUCGCGGCUUAUCAGCUUGUUGGUGGGGUAGUGGCUUACCAAGGCUUUGACGGGUAGCCGGCCUGAGAGGGUGACCGGCCACAUUGGGACUGAGAUACGGCCCAGACUCCUACGGGAGGCAGCAGUGGGGAAUAUUGCACAAUGGGCGGAAGCCUGAUGCAGCAACGCCGCGUGCGGGAUGACGGCCUUCGGGUUGUAAACCGCUUUCGCCUGUGACGAAGCGUGAGUGACGGUAAUGGGUAAAGAAGCACCGGCUAACUACGUGCCAGCAGCCGCGGUGAUACGUAGGGUGCGAGCGUUGUCCGGAUUUAUUGGGCGUAAAGGGCUCGUAGGUGGUUGAUCGCGUCGGAAGUGUAAUCUUGGGGCUUAACCCUGAGCGUGCUUUCGAUACGGGUUGACUUGAGGAAGGUAGGGGAGAAUGGAAUUCCUGGUGGAGCGGUGGAAUGCGCAGAUAUCAGGAGGAACACCAGUGGCGAAGGCGGUUCUCUGGGCCUUUCCUGACGCUGAGGAGCGAAAGCGUGGGGAGCGAACAGGCUUAGAUACCCUGGUAGUCCGCGCUGUAAACGGUGGGUACUAGGUGUGGGGUCCAUUCCACGGGUUCCGUGCCGUAGCUAACGCUUUAAGUACCCCGCCUGGGGAGUACGGCCGCAAGGCUAAAACUCAAAGGAAUUGACGGGGCCCCGCACAAGCGGCGGAGCAUGCGGAUUAAUUCGAUGCAACGCGUAGAACCUUACCUGGGUUUGACAUGGAUCGGGAGUGCUCAGAGAUGGGUGUGCCUCUUUUGGGGUCGGUUCACAGGUGGUGCAUGGCUGUCGUCAGCUCGUGUCGUGAGAUGUUGGGUUAAGUCCCGCAACGAGCGCAACCCUUGUUCACUGUUGCCAGCACGUUAUGGUGGGGACUCAGUGGAGACCGCCGGGGUCAACUCGGAGGAAGGUGGGGAUGACGUCAAGUCAUCAUGCCCCUUAUGUCCAGGGCUUCACGCAUGCUACAAUGGCUGGUACAGAGAGUGGCGAGCCUGUGAGGGUGAGCGAAUCUCGGAAAGCCGGUCUCAGUUCGGAUUGGGGUCUGCAACUCGACCUCAUGAAGUCGGAGUCGCUAGUAAUCGCAGAUCAGCAACGCUGCGGUGAAUACGUUCCCGGGGCU